AGUUGUUCCUCUACUUCUGUUUGUCCUGUAUCUGCUUCUUGUAAUGAUAGCAAAGUUGUUACUUGCCUUCUGUGUCUGUUUCUUGUAGUGAUGACAUCUUGUCUGAUAACAAGGCAGUUCCAUUGCCUUCACAUGUAAAUAGUUCCAUCUGUAAUAAUGAUUUUACAUCUGACAUGAAUUACAUUUGGCACUUAAGACUUG
rnacentral:lncRNA from 1 species